rnacentral:piRNA from 1 species
UGGAUUUCUGGAAUGUCCUUAGGCCUAGGC